UACGGGGGGGGCAAGCGUUGUUCGGAAUUACUGGGCGUAAAGGGCUCGUAGGGGGCCAACUAAGUCAUACGUGAAAUCCCUCGGCUUAACCGGGGAACUGCGUCUGAUACUGGAUGGCUUGAGUUCGGGAGAGGGAUGCGGAAUUCCAGGUGUAGCGGUGAAAUGCGUAGAUAUCCGGAGGAACACCGGUGGCGAAGGCGGCUUCCUGGACCGACACUGACGCUGAGGCACGAAAGCGUGGGGAGCAAACAGG
rnacentral:rRNA from 1 species